AAGUCGUAACAAGGUUUCCGUAGGUGAACCUGCGGAAGGAUCAUUAAAAAAAAUUUAAUGAAUGGUCGGAGGGGAACAUUUUUUGUUCCCCUUUGGCUUUAUUCAACCAACCCGCUCUUGUAUUUUGUAUCAAACAAAAAAUUUCUUUAAAACUAAUAAAAAAUAGUAAUGUAAAAAAAAACUUUCAACAACGGAUCUCUUGGCUCUC
rnacentral:misc_RNA from 1 species